GGGAACUGUAGUGCAUGAUCGGAAUGCUGCGCACGAUCUUGAGACCCGGUGUGUCCAUCGGUACAAGAACCAUCGAAUGCUGAUCGAACGAGCUAUGCGACGACUGCUUGCCGGUCACCCCCAUGACAAUAGCGACCCGGCAAUUGGGAUGACGCGCACCGGUGAUGAACCAUUUGCGGCCGUUGAUCACGUAACUAUCGCCAUCUCUCUGGAUAGUCGUUCGGAUGUUCCUGGCGUCGGAUGACGCUGUAUCCGGUUCACUCAUUGCAAAGC
rnacentral:misc_RNA from 1 species